UACGUAGGUGGCAAGCGUUGUCCGGAUUUAUUGGGCGUAAAGCGCGCGCAGGCGGUCCUUUAAGUCUGAUGUGAAAUCUUGCGGCUCAACCGCAAGCGGCCAUUGGAAACUGGGGGACUUGAGUACAGAAGAGGAAAGCGGAAUUCCACGUGUAGCGGUGAAAUGCGUAGAGAUGUGGAGGAACACCAGUGGCGAAGGCGGCUUUCUGGUCUGUAACUGACGCUGAGGCGCGAAAGCGUGGGGAGCAAACAGG
rnacentral:rRNA from 1 species